rnacentral:rRNA from 1 species
CCCUUAGAUGUCCCGGGCCGCACGCGCGUUACACUGAUGCAUUCAACGAGCUUAUAACCUUGGCCGAGAGGCCUGGGCAAUCUUGUUAACGUGCAUCGUGAUAGGGAUAGAUUAUUGAAAUUAUUAAUCUUGAACGAGGAAUUCCUAGUAAACGCAGAUCAUCAAUCUGCAUUGAUUACGUCCCUGCCCUUUGUACACACCGCCCGUCGCACCUACCGAUUGGAUGGUCCGGUGAGCUCUUCGGACUGCGCGGUCUGCAGUUUCUGCGUUCCGUGCGGAAAGUUGCGCAAACCUUAACAUUUAGAGGAAGGAGAAGUCGUAACA